rnacentral:rRNA from 1 species
CCCUAUUAUUAAAAAUGUAAAAAAUUAGUAUUUUAGGAAAUUUAAUGAUUUUGGCGGUUAAUUAAUAUUUGGAGGAGCUUGUGUAUUUUAUAGAAUUUGCCCUUUAUAUUUUAUAAAUAAUUAAUUUAUUCAUCUCCGUUAUUAAUUUUUGAAAAGUAGGGUUAACUAAAUUUGAAAUUAGGAUUUCAGGUCAAGAUGUAGUUUUUAUUUUAAGAUAUUUAGCUACAUUUAUGUAAUUAGUGGAUUAUAGAUUUUUUUAAAUUUAAGAAUAUAAGAAAUUGAAUUUAGUUGUAAUAGUAAUUAGAAUAUUAUUAUGAAUUGAUUUAAUUAAUGUA